AUUGAACGCUGGCGGGAGGCUUAACACAUGCAAGUCGAACGAGUGGCGGACGGGUGAGUAAUGUAUGGGAAAGUGCCAGAUGGGGGGGGAUAACUACUGGAAACGGUAGCUAAUACCGAAUACCAGCAGAGGUGCCCAGAUGGGAUUAGCUAGUGGGUGGGGUAACGGCUCACCAAGGCAAAGCUCCCCAGCUGGGUUGAGAGGAUGACCAGCUACAGGGGAACUGAUACACGGUCCAGACUCCUACGGUAGGCAUCAGUGGGGAAUAUUGCACAAUGGGCUCAAGCCUGAUGCAGCCAUCCCGCGUUGAUGAUGAAGGCCUUCGGGUUGUAAAGUACUUUCAGCGGAGAAGCGUUACCCGCAGAAUAAGCACCGGCUAACUCCGUGCCAGCAGCCGCGGUAAUAC
rnacentral:rRNA from 1 species